CAGAAAUCUUAUAGGCCCCACAGUACCUUGCUAAGUGAUAAAGGAAGUAAAAGUGCAUAGACAACCAGUAGGUUUGCCUAGAAGCAGCCAUCCUUUAAAGAAUGCGUAAUAGCUCACUGGUCAAGCGCUUUUGCGCCGAAAAUGAACGGGACUAAGCAAUUUGCCAAAGCUAUGAGAUAUUUAUAUCGGUAGGAGAGCGUCUUGUUUUAGAUUGAAGUAAUUUUGUAAAAUUUUAUGGACGAAACAAGAGUGAGAAUGUCCGCUUGAGUAACGAAAACAUUGGUGAGAAUCCAAUGCCCCGAAAACCUAAGGAUUCCUUUGCAAGGUUCGUCCUCGAAGGGUGAGUCAGGACCUAAGGUGAGGCUUACAAGCGUAUCCGAUGGAUAAUAGGUUAAUAUUCCUAUACUACAUUGUAUUUAGCUAGAAAUGACGAAAAAGACUAGGUUGGCCAAAUGUUGGUUAUUGGUUCAAGCAUCUAAGGUGUAGAUAGAUAUUAUAAAAAAUAUUUUGAGCUAAAAUGCGAGUUACGAGUGAGUUUUAUAUUUUAUAAAGCUUUGCAAGCAACGGAUGUCAUGUUUCCUAGAAAAGUUUCUGCAGCAUAUUAUAUUUUGUACCUGUACUAUAAACCGACACAGGUGGGUAAGUAGAGAAUACUAAGGGGCGCGAGACAACUCUUUUUAAGGAACUCGGCAAAAUAGCCCUGUAACUUCGGGAGAAAGGGUGCCCUUUAAAUAGGGUUACAAUAAUCAGACCCAGGCGACUGUUUACCAAAAACACAGGUCUCCGCAAAAUUGAAAAAUGAUGUAUGGGGGCUGACGCCUGCCCAGUGCCGGAAGGUUAAAGAAAUUGGUUAGCUUUUAUUAGCGAAGCUAGUGACUGAAGCCCCGGUGAACGGCGGCCGUAACUAUAACGGUCCUAAGGUAGCGAAAUUCCUUGUCGGGUAAGUUCCGACCUGCACGAAAGGCGUAACGAUCUGGGUACUGUCUCAAAAAGAGACUCGGUGAAAUAGAAUUGACUGUGAAGAUGCGGUCUACCUACACUUGGACAGAAAGACCCUAUGAAGCUUUACUGUAGUUUGAAAUUGAUUUUGGAUUUUUAUUGUGCAGCAUAAGUGGGAGGCGUUGAAGAUAUUUUUUCGGAAAUUUGGAGCCGUUAGUGAGAUACCACUCUAUAAAAGUUAGAAAUCUAAAAAUGUUUCUUGAAUCAGGACAUUUGACAUUUUCAGAUAGGCAGUUUUACUGGGGCGGUAGCCUCCCAAAAGGUAACGGAGGCGUGCAAAGGUUCUCUCAGGGUUAGUCGGAAAUUUAUUGAAGAGUAUAAAGGCAUAAGAGAGCUUGACUGUAAGACCUACAAGUCGAACAGAGACGAAAGUCGGCCUUAGUGAUCCGACGGUUCUGAGUGGAAAGGCCGUCGCUCAACGGAUAAAAGUUACUCUAGGGAUAACAGGCUGAUCUCCCCCAAGAGUUCACAUCGACGGGGAGGUUUGGCACCUCGAUGUCGGCUCAUCGCAGCCUAGGGCAGAAGUAUGUCCUAAGGGUUGGGCUGUUCGCCCAUUAAAGCGGUACGUGAGCUGGGUUCAGAACGUCGUGAGACAGUUCGGUCCAUAUCCGGUGUAGGCGUUUGAGUAUUGAGGAGAUCUUUUCUUAGUACGAGAGGACCGGAAAGGACACACCACUGGUGUACCAGUUCUUAUGCCAAUAGGAAAUGCUGGGUAGCUACGUGUGGAGUGGAUAACUGC
rnacentral:rRNA from 1 species